rnacentral:rRNA from 1 species
AUUGAACGCUGGCGGCAUGCCUUACACAUGCAAGUCGAACGGUAACGGGCCUUCGGGUGCCGACGAGUGGCGAACGGGGGCGUAAUACAUCGGAACGUGCCCGAUCGUGGGGGAUAACGAGGCGAAAGCUUUGCUAAUACCGCAUACGAUCUACGGAUGAAAGCAGGGGACCGCAAGGCCUUGCGCGGACGGAGCGGCCGAUGGCAGAUUAGGUAGUUGGUGGGAUAAAAGCUUACCAAGCCGACGAUCUGUAGCUGGUCUGAGAGGAUGAUCAGCCACACUGGGACUGAGACACGGCCCAGACUCCUACGGGAGGCAGCAGUGGGGAAUUUUGGACAAUGGGCGCAAGCCUGAUCCAGCCAUGCCGCGUGCAGGAUGAAGGCCUUCGGGUUGUAAACUGCUUUUGUACGGAACGAAAAGCCUUCUUUUAAUACAGGAGGGUCAUGACGGUACCGUAAGAAUAAGCACCGGCUAACUACGUG